rnacentral:rRNA from 1 species
UACGUAGGGUGCAAGCGUUAUCCGGAAUCAUUGGGUUUAAAGGGUCCGUAGGCGGUUUUGUAAGUCAGUGGUGAAAGCCCAUCGCUCAACGGUGGAACGGCCAUUGAUACUGCAAGACUUGAAUUAUUAGGAAGUAACUAGAAUAUGUAGUGUAGCGGUGAAAUGCUUAGAUAUUACAUGGAAAUACCAAUUGCGAAGGCAGGUUACUACCUAGUGGAUUGACGCUGAUGGACGAAAGCGUGGGGAGCGAACAGG